UUUCUAUGGAGAUGAGUCUAGCCCCUCGGGGGAGGAGUGAUGGAUGUGUAAUCUCCAAGAUAAGUAACUGACAGACCUGUUCUUUGCCUGGAGUGUAUCCCAGAACCAUGAUCAGUCAGGAACUAUGGAUUGCCUCAACUGGUCAGACUGUGAAACAUCAGAGUGCUUAGUCCCACCCUCCAGCAACAGCUCAAGGUAUAACUAACAUGUCUUAAACAUACUGGAGUUGAUCUUCAUGGCCCAUCUUAAUUCUGGUGAAAAUGUCCCUUCUUAUCUUACAAAAGCUGCCUAUAUGGUUCGAGGCUGCAGAUUCAACCCCUCAGCC